GGCUGGAUGUCCUUCUUAAUGCCAACUAUUUUACAGAGUAUACCAAUUGUUUUUAUUUUUUGUUGCUCUAGCACUAGUGAGGUUGCCAUGCAACUUUUGAGACUAGUGGUGCUACAGUAGAGAGGAAGGCAGCUUUACGCUAGGAGAUAAGAGGUUAAAGGAUGAAAGAAUACAACUAAUUUCUCGUUGUAGAGACACUACAGGGUUAAGAGAGAGUAGGAGUGUAAUCCCUGUACAAGAGACAGGAUGUGAAUGGUGUAAAGGUUGCAAGAGUGUAUAGAGAGUUAGAGAAUGUGAAAUGGUGAGGGGGUUGAUGGAAUGAAUGAAAAACAGGUGCUGAAGGAUAAGUAUAUUGUGUAGAGUCAAUGGUAGAUGUUGUGAACUGUGGAUAAGGGGUAUGAGUGAUUAAAUGAUACAUGUGAAUUGGGGGAGGUAAGGGAGAGUAGGAGAUGACAGUACAGCAAGGGGUGAAAAGUUAUGGACUAAUAAUAAAUAUAUACUAUACAGACACUAAUUCACUAAUUGCAUGGUCUGCAGUUCAGUGAUGAGUACACUGUAAUCUGCAAAUUGGAGGUGUGUUAGUUGCUCACCAUUGAUGUUCAUACCACUUGUGCAGUCAGUGUCCUUGAUGACCAUUUCUAGACAUAGAGCCAUGAACUCA